AUUGAAACACCAGUUCCCAUAUGAUCACCAAUGUUAAGCAACUUUGAGCUUGGUUGGUAUCUAGAUGGGUGACUGUUUGGGAAUACCAGGUGCU